rnacentral:rRNA from 1 species
AUUGAACGCUGGCGGCAGGCCUAACACAUGCAAGUCGAGCGGAUGACGGGAGCUUGCUCCUUGAUUCAGCGGCGGACGGGUGGGUAAUGCCUAGGAAUCUGCCUGGUAGGGGGGGACAACGUUUCGAAAGGAGCGCUAAUACCGCAUACGUCCUACGGGAGAAAGCAGGGGACCUUCGGGCCUUGCGCUAUCAGAUGAGCCUAGGUCGGAUUAGCUAGUUGGUGGGGUAAUGGCUCACCAAGGCGACGAUCCGUAACUGGUCUGAGAGGAUGAUCAGUCACACUGGAACUGAGACACGGUCCAGACUCCUACGGGAGGCAGCAGUGGGGAAUAUUGGACAAUGGGCGAAAGCCUGAUCCAGCCAUGCCGCGUGUGUGAAGAAGGUCUUCGGAUUGUAAAGCACUUUAAGUUGGGAGGAAGGGCAGUAAGCUAAUACCUUGCUGUUUUGACGUUACCGACAGAAUAAGCACCGGCUAACUCUGUGCCAGCAGCCGCAGUAACAC